GAUUCGGAUGUUCAGAUGACUGAGAGAACCCGUCCACGUCCACGGUUACUCCAUGCUCAUCUGCCCAGACGAUCACCACUUUAGGUUAAGUAAACUUUUAUUUGGAAUCACAGCCUACAAUGCUUUCACAUCACGCAAUGAUCAAUGGUAACAUAACCUAUCACAUAAAUAAUGGUGGAACCCAGUAGUAAUCCCUUUAUAUAUACUCUCAUUUGGCCUAUAGUACAAUACAAUACUGAUGCAUGCAAAACAAAAAAAAAUAUGUGUAACCGGUUAAACAGAAAAUUAAACCCAGCAUACACUUAUCAGUUCCAAAAGCAUUUAAAUAUAGGAAGGUCCCUUUGUUUGCUCUACGCAGAGUUAUACUAGUAACCAGCCGUUAACGUUCACCUGUUUGAUAUACCUGUCUAUAACGUUGGUGCACAGUUGGGGCCCAUUUCAACAACCUGUAGUUAGGAUGCGGAAACUAGAGCGAUGACACCCUUUUGUUUCAGGAGUUGGUUAUUGGUAGUUCCGAAUCGGUCGAUUCCCUGAUUCAGCUACUGGGAAGCUACCAGGGGCAAAUGGAAGCUAUGUGCUGCUCCUUAGCCUACUGUUAUUACCAUCCGGGUGAAUUUGUUCACCGGUUCGGCUUCCUUCAAUAUUAUAUAAUUCUAAAUGUCUCAGAUAUGGCUUAAGCUAAAGCAAUGUUAGCUGAAAGGCAGAUGAGGAUUAAAAAAAACCCCAAACAGAAUCUCAUCCCCUGUUGGGGCGACACCCAGUAGUCACUCCCCCCAACUACACUGUUUGCCUCAGUAUAUAGAGAUAUACAGUCUUUUGUCUAUGGAUCAGCUCAUGUAAUAUAUGCGGUUGAUGGGAGGUAGUAGCAACAGGUUCAAGUUUGCCCCCUUUCUGAUUCUAAGGAGCUGCUAUCAGAGAAUUCAUCGGAUGCUGCACUGUCUAGUGGUUAUCAGGGGUUGUCCACCUGGUAAAUGCUCUCCUCUUGGCUGACUGACCACCUGGCCUUUUGGUUUAAUGAUAGCUCCACCUCUCUGUGGGCUACCCAAUGGUACCUCUUUAUAUGGGGGUAAUGCUGUCCGCCUCUCAGGUGCUUCUCCUCCCCCUUCAGUCUGGCCAGCCCCUCCAAUGACUAGAUACAAUCUUCAGUCUCCCAAGUUACUUUUAUAAACGCUGCACCUCAUGUCCCCAUACUCCUGACAGCGGCAGCUCCUCUGUUCUCCACCAGCGGGGACAGCUGCGCCCCUGGGCUACAUCACCUUUCUCCCGUUGCACCAUCAAUUCUCCGGAGCGGCGGCUGGCGGGUCUCAGCGGCGUAGUCAGUUCCAGGCAGUUGCGGCUGGACCAGGAAGGGAUGUCCUCCGCAUUGAGGGAGGGAAUCGGAGCCGCCUUGUGGGAUGGAAUCGGCGCUGCCUCUUCCUCGAACUCAAGUCCGGCCAGCUACACCACAGGUCCCAGUUCGCCUGGUAAUAGCGAGCAGGACGCGCAGCGCCCGUCAUUUCAUGUACAGGCACGGAGACCCAGCCGCGUUAUCUAGCUCUGUCUCCGUCUGCUCAGGAAUCUUUCCAAUCCUUUGGUCAAGCUCUACAGGAAGCCAGGAAAAGACACAUUAAGAAGUUGACACUGCAUUAUAAACACCACAGCUCAAGAGUGAAAGGACAUUGCCUACCGUAUGUGUCCAGAAUUGCUGAUUUUGUUGGAGAAUUGUAAUUUUGUUAAAUGCAGUAGAGUAUAA